AGCACGCUGUCCGCUGGCGCACGCAACUGGCGAGCCAACCCGAUCUGCUCGACCAGCUCGAGGGCUUCUUAGGGGUUUCCAGCUAGAA
rnacentral:tRNA from 1 species